GAAAUGCGAUAAGUAGUGUGAAUUGCAGAAUUCAGUGAAUCAUCGAAUCUUUGAACGCACAUUGCGCCCUUUGAUAUUCCAAAGGGCAUGCCUGUUCGAGCGUCAUUUGUACCCUCAAGCUUUGCUUGGUGUUGGGCGUCUUGUCUCUAGCUUUGCUGGAGACUCGCCUUAAAGUAAUUGGCAGCCGGCCUACUGGUUUCGGAGCGCAGCACAAGUCGCACUCUCUAUCAGCAAAGGUCUAGCAUCCAUUAAGCCUUUUUUCAACUUUUGACCUCGGAUCAGGUAGGGAUACCCGCUGAACUUAAGC
rnacentral:misc_RNA from 1 species